GGCGCAGCGAAAGCGAGUCUUAACAGGGCGUUCAGUACGUUGCAUUAGACCCGAAACCGAGUGAUCUAGCCAUGAGCAGGCUGAAGGUUGGGUAACACCAACUGAAGGGCCGAACCCGUAUCUGUUGCAAUAGAUUGGGAUGACUUGUGGCUAGGGGUGAAAGGCCAAUCAAACCUGGAGAUAGCUGGUUCUCCGCGAAAUCUAUUUAGGUAGAGCG
rnacentral:rRNA from 1 species